UUUCAAUGGAGAGUUUGAUCCUGGCUCAGGACGAACGCUGGCGGCGUGCCUAAUACAUGCAAGUCGAGCGAGGAGCUUUUAGCUCCUAGCGGCGAACGGGUGAGUAACACGUGGGCAACCUGCCCGUAAGACUGGGAUAACUUCGGGAAACCGGAGCUAAUACUGGAUAAUCUUGAUCUUCGCAUGAAGGACAAGUAAAAGAUUUAUCACUUACGGAUGGGCCCGCGGUGCAUUAGCUUGUUGGUAGGGUAAUGGCCUACCAAGGCGACGAUGCAUAGCCGACCUGAGAGGGUG
rnacentral:rRNA from 1 species